rnacentral:misc_RNA from 1 species
CAGGGCAGGAACGUUGCAUGCGAACGCCGCGCUGCAAUCCACUACACACAUACACGUACAACAACAACCCCCCCCCCACGUACACCUUAGGUGCGAGUGCAGGCGCUCCGUGUACACUCGCACACAACAGCAGGCAAGCACCGGAGUCGCUGCACUCUCUCAAUAUACAUAAAGAGUGCGUCCUUUAAGUAGCAGCAGGUAGGGCUCUCCUACAACCGUCGGCGCGAAUCCCUUAAAGGGCGAAUCCGUUGCCGGAGGGGAGGAGGAGUGCAGGGACACGGCAAACAGGAUCGGCUGUCUGUGCCGUUGUCCACAGGCAGCAUCGAAUGUGCAAAGGCGGAAAGAGAGGAGGCAAGUUCGACGCACACACACGCGCAGGACACAGGAGCAUCCACGAAGCGACGAAAAGACGGACCGCGAAUCCGAAGUCGCUAGUGGAGGGAAGGCACAUUGAGGCAGUAGACGCUACCGUUACCAUCAUUGCAUUGCUUAACGGACACAGCGCCCCCACACCCCCUCCUCUCGUCCUCCUCCUCUUUUCGCAAUUCUUUUUUGUAUGUUGUGUGUGUGUGUGUGUCUUGCCGCCUUUUUCGUUUUCGUGUUAUUCUUGUUUCGCCCCUAUCAAUCUGCUCAUCUUCUCUUUUGCCGCGCUAAUCUCGCUGCAUCCCCCUCCACAGAUCUGCUCACCGACUUCAGCAUCGCCGCCAUUGUUUCUCUUUCCCUAACUCUACCCCCGUCGCCGCACAUCGACAUACUGUGAAGUCAUCAGUUAUACACGAACACACAUACAAGCAGUGCCCCCCCUCUCUAUCCCAUCACACAGAAGCCGGCACUAUACGUGGAUCUCGUGGACUCGCUGUCCUGAACCUGCCACUUUUUCCUUCAUUGCUCGUUUCGUUUCUUAAUAUUCUGUGAUUUCUUUCUUGGUGUCCCUGGCUGCACCCUUUUUUUGGUUGUGUCGUCGUUGUUGUCUUGUCUUGAGGCCACACAUAUCCGCUGCGUCACCAACGCGGGCUACUGACUGCGCUGCCGCACCCUUUUAUCAUUGCGGCCUGCGCAGCGUACCGUUGUCAGGCGCAGUCCCACGUGGGUGCUCACACGUCGUGCAUGUGGCCCACUCCAUUUCGACGCUUUUGCGCUUUUGUGUUCUUGAACCCCUAUUGUCUUCCUUCAACAUCACAGCCUCACUCACUCCGGUCUUCACGGCGGCGACUUCAUAGACGCACGCACUCUUGUUUGUCUUUCUUGCUCCGCUCCGCUAACACGUGCGCAGAAAAAAAAAGGCAGAGGGGACGCGGGGGUGCACAUUGUCGGCCUUCGCCGUAGCUCAUACCCUUCUCUGCUUCUCUUCUCACGCCCUCCUCUCCCCCCCUCCGCUCUCUCCUCUUCUGUUCUUUCUCUGCCGACCUCAUUUUGCCCCCCCCCCCACUCCCCCCUUGCUCUUCCCUUAGACCUACAAGCAGUUUCUUUCUGCACUCUGCUAUCUUGAAGCGCUCGUGCUUUGCUUCAGCCCUUUUUCCCUUUCGCUUCGUGUGCUCAGCCCCUCCUCCUCCUCUACUCUCGUUUGCUUGUUUCCCCUCCGCCGCUUCACCUGCCUCUCUCCUCUCCUCUUGUCUUCGGUCUCACCGGGGCGGUGUUUCUAAUCCCUCUGAGGUCUUUUCAAACGUUUAGACAUGCCAACCUCUUCGCAGGCUUCUGCUUCGUCGCGUCGUGCCAGCACCACGAAGCCGGGGCCGCCACCACGCGCCUCCAGCGCCGCACCUCCGCUCCCAGCGCGCUUCCCGAGUCAUUCCCAGGCUCCGCUGCCCAGCGCCACAACGUCACGGCGCGGUUCAGCAAUCCCAGAGCUGAUCGGGACACGACGCGACUCCUCCAUUGGCGCCACCAGCACAAAUCCUCGUCUUCGGGGCGGUAGCGUGAUCGAUGCCGCCGCAGCGCAGCGCAGCUCUUCAGCUCCACGGAAUCCGAUCGACUUUGCCUCCAAAGAGAGCCAGGAGGCCAUGAACCGUCUGCGCCGCCUCUUCUUGCCAGUGAUGAUGCGCGUCAUCCUGCGGUUUAGGAGACGCUCGCGCUGGAAAGACGGGCAGCCGCCUCGGCAGUACACUCCGGGGUCGGUGGUUGCCGCCAUCAUGAGCACCAAGUCGCUCCUUGCGGACUGCCCGCAACGAAUGGUGGAGAGCCUGGCAGCCGGCGCCACGUUCAUGUCCCUCACACCAAAGGAAAUCAUUGUGUACGCCAACGAGUCGCACGUGUCGUGCGGCAUUGUGGUGCUGCUCUAUGGCCAGCUGGAAGAACGGCGCCCCGAGCCGGGUGGUAAAAAGCCUAACGCGGGCGGCGGCGGCGGCUCCACACGUCCCAUUUGCACGCAGCCGCACAGAUUGCACAAGGCAAUGAGCGUACUCUGUCUGAUGCCUGUAAUGUGCGAGGAUCGCGCCACGUCCUUCCUCGCGACUCGCGAGAGCGAGGAAGCCGAUGUCGCGAUAAUCUCCUCACGCUGGUUCUGGGAGGUGACGUACAGCAUGGCACAGGCGUCGCUGACCACCGCCGACGUGAUGGGGCGCACGCUGCGCGAGGUUGUCCUGCCGCAUCGCCGCGACCUGCUACUAGCCGAUUACUUUCCCACCUCCGUGGUGCUUCUCCGCUCGUGGAUGUGGUCCAUGCUGACGGCGAGCGACCGCGUCAAACUGAGUCGUUCCAUGGAGGUGCGCGUUCUCUCCGUCGGCGAUGUCCUCUUCGAUGAGGGCGACUACUGCCCAUACAUCUACGUGGUGCGCCGCGGUGCCCUCGCUGCGAUCGUGAAGGGCGAGACACUGGCGGUGCUGGAGGCUGGCGCCGCCGUGGGGGAGGAAAGCGUCCUGUUCCACGACAGGCGCAACUGCAGAGUCGUCGCGAUCACCGUGUGCGAGCUCUACGCUCUGCACGCGCACCACCUUCUGCGCCGCUUCCUCAAGUACCCCGAGAGUGCCCGCCGCAUCGUUGCGGCUGCCAUAGAGCGGCAGGUGUGGUGGAUGGAGGAGGGCCGAACACGCGACGUGUUUGGGCUUGUGUCCAUUUUGAGCGGUGUACCAUGUCUGGGGCACACGACGGACGCCAUGCGGGAUGAGAUCGCGAGGUGCGCCUCCGUACUGAUCCUCCCGCAAGGUCACACGGUGGUCUCCGCAAACACACCCUGCACCUUCUUCUGUGUUAUCGGCCGCGGCUCGGUGACGCUGAUAAGCUCGAUGAAGACCGCCGCCGUCGCGGAGACGCCCUCUAGCGUGAACGGCAUUGACAGCAAAGGCGAAUCGCAGCUGGGUAUGCGACGCUCCUCAGCGAUGAAACCGAUGAGCAACCCAGCGACCGAGAUGCGGCGAGAGUCUCGCAGCGCCGGAGACUUCUUUGGCGAGCUAUGCUUGAAGCCGCACCUGUGGCCCUAUGACGUGAUGUGCGACUCCACAGUCAGCCUCUGGCAGUUUGAUCGGGAGGCGGUACUCGGGGUGCUGGAGAGGAACCGCGCCGAUGCCCAGGCGCUAGAGGUGUGCCGGCAAGGCAUCGGCCUCUACCGUACCCAACGCGGCGAAACCAGCAUCAUCGACGGCUUUGAACCUCCCGCCACCCCCAACGCACCAGCGAAUGGAUGGCGUUCGUGCAUUGGCGGCCAGCGCAGCCGUGCGCAGUCAACUGACUUUGCGACAGCGCCUCCAGGAGCGCGCAGCAGUAGCGCUGGCAGUCGCGCAGGUAGGCGUCUCUCUUUGUCACAUGCUGCUGCACCGGAGUGGCUUUCAAGAGGGUCGCCCUCGGAAGGCCGCACGCCGCGCGGAGGCAGGCGCGCGGGUGUGGAGUGGACACUUGAGCAGUGGACCACGUACGCCAUGACGCGGCUGCAGGAUGGGCUGCGCGCUGAGGACGCAAAAGAGACUCCCCCCGCGCCCUCCCGCGAGCUGCGUGGCGUCGACAAGGAGGUGGAGAAGACCAUGAACGAAAAGGUGCUCCAGCUUGUUGCCGUGCAGCCGGAGACGCCACCGAACCCGGCUGACUGCGACAUCAGCGGAGACUCAAGCGAGCUGCAGUCGAUCAUUGUGGGGCAACUCUUCCUCAUUAUGACGGAGAAGCAGUCGAGGUUCCUGCGACAGGUGAAGGACAGCAACGUCCGUCUCAUCACUGAGGACGAGGGUAUGCAGCUCGUGGGUGAGCUGAACGACAGCCUCGACGAUAUGAGCGGCAUGGAUGCCCUGCACAACUCCGAGGCGCUGGUCGAGGUGACCGAGGUGAUGCAGCUGGAGGAUAUCAGCGCGUCGCCGCUGGAAGGCAGUCAUUUUCUGCCGCAGCGCGCGAUGCCGUCGUUGUCCGUGCGUGAUUCCACUGAUGCUACGGAUUAUAUUAAUGUGCACCGCGUCGACGAUGCCCUCAGCGUAGAGGGCAGCGGUGGCGCGCUGGCGGGUUGGCCGAUGCCGAACGCAUCAAUCGGUCGCACUCGCCGUUCCACCAGCGUCGGCGCGCUCGGCGAGGCCAGCGGCGUCUUGGGGGCAUCGUUGAACCCGCGCUCGUCCCUCAAUCGCAGUCACUUUGUGCGUCCAUCAUCUGCGGUGCCGCCGUCGCCGCGCUGCGCCAGCGGACGCGAUGACUUUCUGUCACCGGGGGCUAUCGGUGUCGUGCGACCCGCGAGUUCUAGCGAGCCUCGGAUGAUGCCACCCGCGCGUACGCGCCCCGCGAGCGUGGACUUUAACCAGUUCAACAACAAGCUCAGCGUUGAUCGCUCCACCUCCAUGCUGGACCGCUACGUCAAGAUUGAGGAUCAAAACUACUUCGACAGCUUCGUCAAAGUGCUUCCGCUGCAGCGGGACGAGAUGUGGGCACCAGAUGGGGUGAACACGGACAGCGAAAUGGGCACCGGCUCUAUGGUGCUCCUGCUUCUCCACGUGCGCAAGUGCGACUACUUGUCUGCCAAAGUGAUGCAGCGCUGCGCGCGGCCCAUUGUGAAAGUGACACUGGGGGAGCGUGUCCUGGUACGUACCUCCGUCAUGGAAAACUGCACGGCACCGCGCUGGCCGAUUGAGCACUCGUCGUUCAUUAGCUUCGUGCGGCGCGGCACCGACAUCGUCUUCUCCGUCUGCGACGCGGAUGACGAGUGUCGCAUUGUGUACCAGGCCUCCUUCUCGACGGCGAGUAUACACGAGAACGGCGGGGUGGAGCAGAGAACCAUGCCGCUGACGGAGCUAUCGGUAACGGGCUUCCCCGCCAACGCGGAGAUGGACGCCGAUGUGAAGAGCGUCGAGUCGGUUGGCAGGAUGCAGAGGAGCGCGAAGAAACCGCGCAUGACAAUGACCAUGCUAGCGGUGACAGCUAACAAGUACAAGGCGCUUCGGCAGUACCUCGAAACGAAAGAGAAAGUGAUCGUAGACCCGCCAGGGACUCCGGAGAGCACGAAGUUGUUCCUGCAGGUGAUGUCGGUGGAAGGCCUCAAGCACCGCAUCGAGGCCACUGUCACCGCUUCCCUCUACAACGGCGCGACAAGCACGACAGUGUUGAAAACCGAGCGUGUGAUUCCAAAGACACGCAGCCCCGCCUGGCCCGGGGAGACGAGCUUCGUCAUCAUCUCAGGCGAAGGCGGCAUCUUGUCGUUUGACCUACACCACAGGGAUGCCGUCAUCGGCUCCACCGAGACAACGGUAGACGAGCUUAUCUUUGGCGGAGUAGGGCUGAGGCGGUUGCCGCUUCUUCAGGCGCAGACGGGCAGGCUCGUGAUCGGCCACCUCGUGGUGGGCGUCCUGGGCGCGAGGCUGGGGGACAGCGUCGAGAGCCGCAAUCGCGACUGGGUGACGCACCUCGCCGUGGAGGAGCUCUCGCUAGCGAGGGAGGGCUUCUCCAUCAACCCCGAUCCAUUCAUCGUGCUCCGUAGCGGCACUGGGGCAGAGCUGAUGCGCACACCGCUCGCGUUCAGCGCCUUCGAGGCCUCAUGGUCGAUGUCCGAGGCAAGCUGCCUGCUGCAGUGCCCGCGUCUCUGCGGUAGCACGGUUUCCUACCAGCUAGAAGUGUGCGACAGCGACGAGAAGGAGGUUAUUGGCCGCGCGACCAUCCUGCUGAGUGAUCGCGGCCUUGGCCCGGGCCAUCUGCACGAUCUCUCGCUCGAUCCACCCGGGCGCGGUGUAGUGCGCCUGCGCAGCCUUUGCCUCCCUGUCUUAGAGCUCCCGGCGCGCGGUGCAGCUGGCAAGGCCUCGUCGGCCGCGGCUCUCUGCCCACCGUUCUCUUCUCACCUGCACCUCUCAGAGUCCGCGACACUUCUGCUGCUUCACAUGGGCGGGUGUACUAAUCUGCCCGGCGGCGCGACGGUGGAGCUUCAAAUAGACGCGAUCGGCACGCUUUCUGUUGAUGCGCAGCCGUACUUACGCACUGCUGUACAGGAAGCGACGACGGCUCUGCAGUGGCCCCUCUCAAAGGCGAGCGUGCUACUGCGGAUCCCGUCACGGGGGGAUGUGGACGACCGGGCUGCAGAAGCGGUUGAUCUCCGCCAGUGGCAGUGCGGUCACCAGUGUCACUUCGCUGUCUACGACGGCGUCGUGGACGACGUGAGUCAGAUUGGCCAGGUCGCUGUCCCGCUUUCGCAACUGCUGAACACCGCGUUGCACACGUAUCCCCUCUUCCCGCGAUGCAUGAACGCAGACGGUGGGGGUUUAGACCAGCAGCCAUCCGUUGGCACAACAACGCGUCCACGCGCGGCGGCCGAGAGGACGUUGGGCAACCUGCAGGUCUUCACGCUGCUCGGCUCCCUCGACCACCAGGUGCGCGGGACGGCGGAGCAAGAGACCGAUACGCUGUUGACGUCGGUGCCCGCCGCCGGCGGCCAUGCUCCGCCAGAUCAGCUGCCGUACUACAAUCCGGAAAGCGCCGAUAUCACCGCUGCGAGGCUGGCUUCCGCCCUCCCUACUACGGUGGUGCUGAGCGUCAGCAACAUCUGCCAUGUCCUGCCGAGCGCCUCCGAAAAGUAUGUCCAGAUCGUGGUACGCCGCGGCGCCACCGUUGUCUUGUCAGUGGAGCGGCAGAUGGGGGUGCUCAGCCACGCCGAAUGGAGUCCGACGGAGGCGUCGGCCGUGGUGUCCUGCGGAGCACUCCCGGCGGACGCGGCACUUGUGGUGGAGCUGGUGGCGAUGGAUGUGGUGGAGGGGCGGAACGACGAGGAGGAGGACGGCAUCACCCCCUCAGCAGCCGGCGCAAAGGCGGAGUCGACCGCGAGGGAUAAGACGCGGCGUCGCACUAUCACCAAGGGAAACGCCUCUGCCGCCAAUCUGCCACUCGGCCAUGCUGAAUUGCCUGUAUCAAGACUGUCUUCCGUCCAGGCGGGUGAGGUGCGGGUGGUGACACUGAUGCUGAGCCGUUCUCAACGCUCGUCCUCCUCGUCAGAGACGACGGGGCGUCUUCCCAGGGUUGCGCCAUCGAUGUGUGCUCUAAAGGAUGCGCAGGUCGUCUGGCCGACCGUCUCGUUCUGCAUCUUUGGCAACCGCGCCUAGGCAAGCUUGACACAGCGUGGCGGCAGAGAGGUGGAAAGCGGGAUACCCGAGAAGGCUGCUGAUGCCGAGAGAGACGGGAACGUCUUCGUCGCUAUCGUUGGCACUCCAACUGCUCGGUGGUUUAUUCGUCGCGCUUCCUAUCAAAGGUGGAGGGAGAGUAAACAGAUGUGUGAUCUGGCGUUGCCGCUGAGGUCGUGGUCGGGGCUCGGCCACGGUCUUGUGCACUCCGCAUGGCCAUGCAGCUCCGCCGAGCACCACUGGCGUGAAAUGGGGCCCUUCAUUUUUCAUGACGUCAUCAGCGCCUUUUUCUUCGUCUGUAUUCAGCGUGUUUGCCUGUGUCUGCGUGUCCAUUGCGUGGUAUUGAGGGCCGCUGUUGUUGGUCUAUGCGUGCUUUCGUUGUCGGUGGCGGUCGCUCACUUUUUUUUUCGGUCUGUGUACUGACUCUUACGCCACCAUUUCCACCAUCUUCCCUCCCUCCUUGUUCUGCUAACUGCACCAUAG